GGUUAAGCGACUAAGCGUACACGGUGGAUGCCCUGGCAGUCAGAGGCGAUGAAGGACGUGCUAAUCUGCGAUAAGCGCCGGUAAGGUGAUAUGAACCGUUAUAACCGGCGAUUUCCGAAUGGGGAAACCCAGUGUGACUCGUCACACUAUCAUUAACUGAAUCCAUAGGUUAAUGAGGCGAACCGGGGGAACUGAAACAUCUAAGUACCCCGAGGAAAAGAAAUCAACCGAGAUUCCCCCAGUAGCGGCGAGCGAACGGGGAGGAGCCCAGAGCCUGAAUCAGCAUGUGUGUUAGUGGAAGCGUCUGGAAAGGCGCGCGAUACAGGGUGACAGCCCCGUACACAAAAGCGCAUGUGCUGUGAGCUCGAUGAGUAGGGCGGGACACGUGGUAUCCUGUCUGAAUAUGGGGGGACCAUCCUCCAAGGCUAAAUACUCCUGACUGACCGAUAGUGAACCAGUACCGUGAGGGAAAGGCGAAAAGAACCCCGGCGAGGGGAGUGAAAAAGAACCUGAAACCGUGUACGUACAAGCAGUGGGAGCACCCUUUGGGGUGUGACUGCGUACCUUUUGUAUAAUGGGUCAGCGACUUAUAUUCUGUAGCAAGGUUAACCGAAUAGGGGAGCCGGAGGGAAACCGAGUCUUAAUUGGGCGUUAAGUUGCAGGGUAUAGACCCGAAACCCGGUGAUCUAGCCAUGGGCAGGUUGAAGGUUGGGUAACACUAACUGGAGGACCGAACCGACUAAUGUUGAAAAAUUAGCGGAUGACCUGUGGCUGGGGGUGAAAGGCCAAUCAAACCGGGAGAUAGCUGGUUCUCCCCGAAAGCUAUUUAGGUAGCGCCUCGUGAAUUCAUCUCCGGGGGUAGAGCACUGUUUCGGCUAGGGGGCCAUCCCGGCUUACCAACCCGAUGCAAACUGCGAAUACCGGAGAAUGUUAUCACGGGAGACACACGGCGGGUGCUAACGUCCGUCGUGAAGAGGGAAACAACCCAGACCGCCA
rnacentral:rRNA from 1 species